CGUCUUUGUUGCUUACUGAUAGUAGUGUGGAUACUAAACGAUCAGUUGAAGAAAACAAGGUAUUUGAGGAGGGAAAUAAGGUAUGUUUGACAAGCAAAGUAGAAGAAAACAAGAUGUUCGAAGGGGACAAUGUGGAAACCUCAGCCAAAGAGGACAAUGUGGAAACCUCAGCCAAAGAGGACGGUGCAGCAGAAAAGUUAUUGGCUGAGGAACAAAAUAUGGUAUGUAACCCUGAAAAGAGUAAUUUAUUGCAAAAGAAGGAGUGUGAAGGAAGAAUGGAUUGUACUGUCCAGCCAACUGGUGCA
rnacentral:lncRNA from 1 species